rnacentral:rRNA from 1 species
CGUAGGAGACGAGCGUUAUCCGGAUUUACUGGGCGUAAAGCGUGUGCAGGCGGUUCGGCAAGUUGGAUGUGAAAUCUCCCGGCUCAACUGGGAGGGGUCGUUCAAAACUACCGAACUUGAGGUCAUCAGAGGAAGGUGGAAUUCCGGGUGUAGUGGUGAAAUGCGUAGAUAUCCGGAGGAACACCAGUGGCGAAGGCGGCCUUCUGGGAUGAUCUUGACGCUCAGACACGAAAGCUAGGGGAGCGAACGGGAUUAGAGACCCCGGUAGUCCUAGCUGUAAACGAUGUAGACUUGGCGUCGGAGGGUUCAAAACCUUCGGUGUCAUAGCUAACGCGAUAAGUCUACCGCCUGGGGACUACGGCCGCAAGGUUA